rnacentral:rRNA from 1 species
AACGAACGCUGGCGGCAGGCCUAAACAUGCAAGUCGAGCGGGCAUAGCAAUAUGUCAGCGGCGGACGGGUGAAUAACACGUGGGAACAUGCCCUUUGGUACGGAACAACUCAGGGAAACUUGAGCUAAUACCGUAUGUGCCGGUAACGGGAAAGAUUUAUCGCCAAAGGAUUGGCCCGCGUCCGAUUAGCUAGUUGGUGAGGUAACGGCUCACCAAGGCGACGAUCGGUAGCUGGUUUGAGAGAACGAUCAGCCACACUGGGACUGAGACACGGCCCAGACUCCUACGGGGAGGCAGCAGGUUGGGAAUCUUGGACAAUGGGGGAAACCCGUCAUCCA